CGGAUGCGAUCAUACCAGCACGACA
rnacentral:rRNA from 1 species